rnacentral:misc_RNA from 1 species
ACAGUAUUUAUGUGUUCAGUGGAUUUUUCGUUGUACUUCAUUAAAUAAGAAACGAAAGCGAAUAUGAAAGUUAUACCUGUGUAAUCAAGUUACAGUUACAUGCAAGGUGGUUUAUUUACCUUGUACAAUCUUGACAGUAGUGGUAAACUGUGGUUUAAAUUUAAAAUUUAUGUCCUUGACGGAUCGCGUAUCUCUUUUAACCUAAACCUUAUAAGAACGCGACAAUAUUUGGAAUACGGAUAAAUGUAAACAAGCGGGGCUUAAGUCAAGUCGAGUAUAAAAUGUUGAAAUUUUUGAUAUCAUAUAAAGUGUAAAUCAUAUUGGGUACCCAAAAAUAAUGUUUGUGACAUAGUUUUUUUUCAAGGUUGGAUUGAUAUUAGCGUCGUUUUAUGAAAUUUGAUGCAUGGAGGUAUAGAAAAAUUGUUUAGUAAAUCGGAUAUGUUAGAAGAAAUGUCCGUUCGUGAAUUUUGUGAUGUUUGUGAUAAAAUGAAAAGUAGAAAGGAAGCUAGUAACAGUGAUAAAGAUAAUCCAGUGACCAUUAAUUCCACCCAGAUGUGUUCAAACUUAAGUUCAGGUUUAUUUGCAUUCCGUUACCAUAUGUCUUUAAUAUUGACUGUGUUACUUUAUAUGACUUCGAUUCCUUUAACAAAUGGAUUUAAUUUGGACAUAACGAGUAAAAUAGAAUUUGAAGGUCCGAACAGAGGGAGUUACUAUGGCUACACAGUGGCAAUGAUGAACCAGAAUGACCAGAACAGAUGGAUAUUGUUUGGUGCUCCAAAGGACAGCAGUGUUAAUCUUCCGGACGUAGAGAAGCCAGGUGCUAUAUACAAGUGUACAUUCACCCGUGACUUCAGUGCACGCACUUGUGAGGAAGUUUUCAUUGAUGAUAUAACUGGUAGCGGUUCUGCGCCCUUUGAUGGGAAAAGUAGAAGUUUUACACAUGGAAGGGACGACCAGUGGCUGGGAGCCUCUUUGGAUGUUCAGGAAGGAAAAGGGAUUGUGACAUGUGCAAGCAGAUGGUAUAACAAACAGUUUCUAAGUAGCGGGUAUUAUUUUAUGAACGGACUGUGCUAUGAAAUACCUCUAGACUUCAACAGAAACAACAUUAAGACUAUCCCUGGUCUUGUAGCAGGUGAUAAACAGACCAUGACCAUACCCGGAACGAACGUUACGAAACUUAAUUACGGGAUGGGCAAUUUGGGCGCAUCAGUCCAUUAUACAAGUCAGGGUGAAGAUCUGUUAUUAGGAGCCCCGGGUCUGUGGUAUUUUACCGGAGGUUUUAUAGAUUUACACCAGACUGAAGCCUACUUUACAGAUUACAACAAACCUCCUACUGAGAUCAACGAAAUGGCGGGUUACGCCAUAACGAGUGGGCAGUAUUUUGGAGGGGAUCUAACAAUGUUUGCUAUAGGAGCGCCAAGAGAUCAUUUGACAGGAAAGGUUUUCCUAUAUGGGUCAAACAGGAAGACUUUCGUUUUGGACGAUCCUGACCUUACCUUAGACGGAUCGGAAAUAACUGAGAUUCCAGUGAAUGGUUUCUUUGGAGCUGCCCUAUGUACUGUUGAUGUCAACAAAGAUGGAUUGGACGAUCUUCUUGUAGCUGCACCAUUUUAUAGCGAAGGCGAACGCGAGGAAACCGGGAUGGUUAUAGUAUACCUCGGACAGGAUGAUAUGACGUUUAAACCGAUGUCUACCAUGUUAACCGGAAGUGACAAAUCUGGUGCACGCUUUGGUACUGCAAUUGCCAGCCUAGGAGAUUUAAACAAAGAUAAAUACAAUGAUAUUGUGGUAGGCGCUCCUUAUGAAGAUGAUUUGCAAGGCGCCAUCUAUGUCUAUAAUGGAUGUAAAACUGGUAUCUGGCCUCACUUCUCCCAGAGAAUAGCUGCAGCUUCUCUCCGUACUGGACUCAUGUCAUUUGGAAUUUCUUUCUCGAAAGCUGAAGACAUGGACAGCGAUGAAGUGAAUGAUAUUGCAGUGGGUGCUUACUUAUCGGACAAGGCUUACCUUCUGUUUGGUCAGUCUGUGAUAAAUAUAGAAAUUACCCUGCAAAGUAGUGUCACUCAGAUUGACAAAGAUACCACUCAGAUGUGUCCGUCAACUGACGGCAGCGAUGUUGUCCCUUGUUUCAGGGUUGGCGUUUGUUUUUUCUAUGUGUACAGACAGUUCAGUACCAUCGAGGUGAACGUGACUUUGCAGCUAGAUACCUAUAUGGGAGAAUACAAUCGCAUUGCCUUUCGGAGUAAUGGCCAGAGUGUAGAACACUUUCGUCUUAAACUGUUUUCUGGAGAUAGAACAUGCAUUAGUGAUAAGGAUGUUCUAAUAAAGUCUACAUCUGACUUGGUGACACCUGUGCGGAUGAAAGCCAGUUAUGAAGUUCUGGAUAUACCCAGCGGCAGUGCUCGUGUCCAACCCACAAUUAAUAAAUUUAAUGGAGAAAACCCGGAUAAACAUAUACUUAUUGCCACUAAAAUUGUUGAUUUUAAGAAAGACUGUCCAAAUAAUGAAUGUAAGACCGACCUUCACCUUACAGCGGAGGCCAAGUACGGCACAUCUACAGAAUAUUUCAUUAUUGGUUCAUUCCACACUAACCAUUGAUGUCAGUAUACUGAAAUCCGGGGAUCCGAGCUACAGCUCAAACUUCUUCAUUACAGUCCCAAAUACUCUUCAAUACCAGAAGGUAACUAAAGUCUAUGGAGACCCAGAGAUAAACUGUGGUUUUGUCAAUCUUGGAGACGAGGAAUCUGGGGAGGAGGACAUGGAUUCACUCGAUUAUCUGCAAAGAAAAAAUAUUCCGAAAGUAUUAGAAGAUGAGU